AUUGCAAAAAUGGCAUCAUCAUCAACUUCUAUUCUUUCGACCUCAUUUCUUCCAUCCAAAACCAUUUUUUCUCAAAGAAGAAGAUCAUCAACAAAUACAAGAAAUAUAUUGACUUUGGCUAUGAGAAAAGAAGCACAUGAUCAGAGAACUAUUAUAAUGGUGGAUAUGUGGAUGAAAACAUGAUUGUCCCACUGAAAGAGGAUUCAAGAGAUGAAAAUGAUCGAGAAGAAUUACGAGCCACCAGCAGAAUGGAUGGAUUUGGAGAAAAGCUUAUAUGAGAAUUAUAAUUCAAGUAUUUGUGAAGCCAUGGGAUUUUUGCAAUAUUUGUUGAUGAAUACAAGGCCAAGCAUGGCUUUAGUCAUGGUUGCACUUGUUGCAUUGAGUGUGCCCACAUCAACUAUUGUUAUACCUUUUCAUCUCUUAGAGUUUACUAAAGGGCUUUUGGCUGGUGUUCCUAUUAUUAGUUAAAGAAAAGAUGAAGAAGAAAGAGGGUCUAGUUAACUAUAUAUGUAUAUAGCUUAAAAUUGAUUCUUUUGAUUUAUUAUUAUUGGAUGACGAUUCAAUAUAUAUUAACAUGAACUAGAAAAGGUUCUUUGCUGCU